GCCAGUCAUCGGGGCUGAGUGAGCGAGUGAACGUGUCUUCAUGGCGGACUGACGACAACUUCAAGCCGCGUGUGGACUCGGACAUCAUCGGAGACCACCGACUUUUCCCCCCCCACGUCCCACGCCUUCUUAGGACGGUGCUCGUGGAAUUCCUGCUGGCCGACAGGAAGCAGGCGAGUGGGGCUCCGAGAGCUCCGAGGGCUGCCUCGCACCAGGUGGACGCUCGUCUGUCUACCAAGCUAUGCCGGCUUGGAUGCACUAUUGACCGCCACUGGGGUCCCAGCUUCGCCCCUGGCAGCGGGGCGACGAGGAACAUUUAGCUGCUGUGUGCUGCUCAUGUUGGGGGAGGAGAAGUUGGAGAGCGACCCCCUCCACCGACUCUUUUUAUGACUGCCUCCAUUUUCCCUGCUGGCUCAUCAGGACUUAUGUACAAAUCAUCAAUCUACCUCAAGCAAGUGACAUCUACUUCCACCGGAAGGUGUUUGUGCUGACACUGCAGAUACCUCCAAGCAAGUGGCCUCCACACAGGUGUGUCCAGGUGUCCGCCGGAAGGUGUUUAUGCUGACGCUGCAAAUACCUUCACACAGGUGUGUCCGGACGUCCACCUGACGUUGCAGAUACCUCCACACAGGUGUGUCCAGCUGACACUGCAGAUACCUACAAGCAAGUGGGAUCCACAAAGGUGUGAACAGAUGUCCACCUGACGCUGCAGAUACCUCCACACAGGUGUGUCCGGACGUCCACCUGACGCUGCAGAUACCUACAAGCAAGUGGGAUCCACAAAGGUGUGUCCAGAUGUCCACCUGACGCUGCAGAUACCUCCACACAGGUGUGUCCAGACAUCCACCUGACGCUGCAGAUACCUCCAAGCAAGUGGCCUCCACACAGGUGUGUCCAGACAUCCACCUGACGCUGCAGAUACCUCCAAGCAAGUGGCCUCCACACAGGUGUGUCCAGACGUCCACCUGACGCUGUAGAUACCUCCAAGCAAGUGGCCUCCACACAGGUGUGUCCAGACGUCCACCUGACGCUGUAGAUACCUCCAAGCAAGUGGCCUCCACACAGGUGUGUCCAGAUGUCCACCUGACACUGCAGAUACCUCCACGCAGGUGUGUCCAGAAGUCCACUUGACGCUGCAGAUACCUCCACACAGGUGUGUCCAGAUGUCCACCUGACACUGCAGAUACCUCCACGCAGGUGUGUCCAGAAGUCCACUUGACGCUGCAGAUACCUCCAAGCAAGUGGCCUCCACAAAGGUGUGUCCGGACGUCCACCUGACGCUGCAGAUACCUCCACACAGGUGUGUCCAGACGUCCAGCUGACGCUGUAGAUACCUCCAAGCAAUUGGCCUCCACACAGGUGGAUUGUUGCUGUAGAUACCUCCAAGCAAGUGGCCUCCACACAGGUGUGUCCAGAUGUCCACCUGACGCUGCAGAUACCUCCACACAGGUGUGUCCAGACGUGCAGCUGACGCUGUAGAAACCUCCAAGCAAGUGGCCUCCACACAGGUGUGUCCAGACAUCCACCUGACACUAAAGAUACCUCCAAGCAAGUGGUCUCCGCACAGGUGUGUCCAGAUGUCCACCUGAUGCUGCAGAUACCUCUAAGCAAGCGGUCUCCACAAAGGUGUAUCCAGAUGUCCUCCUGACGCUGCAGAUACCUCCACACAGGUGUGUCCAGACAUCCACCUGACGCUGCAGAUACCUCCAAGCAAGUGGCCUCCACACAGGUGUGUCCAGAUAUCCACCUGACACUAAAGAUACCUCCAAGCAAGUGGCCUCCGCACAGGUGUGUCCAGAUGUCCACCUGACGCAGCAGAUACCUCCGCACAGGUGUGUCCAGACGUCCACCUGAUGCUGCAGAUACCUCCAAGCAAGCGGUCUCCACACAGGUGUGUCCAGAUAUCCACCUGACACUAAAGAUACCUCCAAGCAAGCGGUCUCCACACAGGUCUGUCCAGAUGUCCACCUGACACUGACGAUACCUCCAAGCAAGUGGCCUCAGCACAGGUGUGUCCAGAUGUCCACCUGACGCAGCAGAUACCUCCGCACAGGUGUGUCCAGAUGUCCACCUGACGCUACAGAUACUCCCAAGCAAGUGGCCUCCACACAGGUGUGUCCAGAUGUCCACCUGACCCUGCAGAUACCUCCAAGCAUCAGCCGGACGUGUGUCCAGAUGUCCAGCUCGGCUGUCAGGUGUUUGUGCUGACGCCGCAGAUGGCUUCCUUCCCAGACUCGGACCUGCAGACGUGUCCCCUCUGCAAGGAGCUGUGCGGCUCCUCCGCUCCCAUUUCCUCCAGCUCCUCCACCUCCUCCUCCUCCUCCUCCUCGCACACCUCCUCCUCCAGCCAGACCAGCAGGAGACUCCACGUCCUGCCCUGCCUCCACGUCUUCUGCAGGCAGUGCCUGGAGGGCCAGCGUUGCCCCGGCGACCCCCUCAAGCUGCGCUGCCCCACCUGCGACCAGAAGGUGUCCAUCUCCGAGGCCGGGGUGGACUCCCUGCCUUCCUCCAACUUCCUCUUCAGCAACCUGUUGGACGUGGUGGUGAACACGGAGGAGCAGGUCCAGAACAAGAACGGCCACCACCAUAAUGUGGGCUUGGGCUCCUCUGGCUUCCAUCACACCCCCGGAGGCCUCCUGCACCCUCACCUCAUGGGAGAGCCUCAGUGCAGCUCCUGCGACGAGGAGAACCUGGCCACCUCCCACUGCCUGGACUGCCAGGAGUACCUGUGCGACAACUGUGUGCGUGCCCACCAGCGGGUCAGGCUGACCAAGGACCACUUCAUGGAGAGGCUAGGAGAGAACCUCCACCUGAGCCGGGUCAACAGCAACCCCGGCCAGUCGGUGGCGCUCGCUCAGUCCCUGCAGAACAACUUUACACUGCUGACCCUCUUCCAGGAUCACAUCAGCUACUGCCCGCACCACGACAACCAGGUUUUCCUCUUCUUCUGCGAGACCUGCGCCAUGCCCAUCUGCAAUGAGUGCAGCAUGGGCCGUCACCUGGGCCACACCUUUGUUUACCUCCAAGAUGCCGUGCAGGACUGCAGGGCCGUCACCAUCCAGCUGCUGGCGGACGCACAGAAGGGACGACAGGCCGUGCAGCUGAGCAUGGAGAAGGUCCAGGCCAUGGCGGAGCAGGUGGAGAUGAAGGCUAAGGUGGUGCAAAGCGAGGUGAAGGCCCUGGUCCUCAGACACAAGAAAGCACUGGAGGAGAGAGAGUGUCAACUACUGUGGAAGUUGGAGAAGAUCCGGCAGGUGAAGGCCAAGUCGCUGUAUCUUCAGGUGGAUAAACUGCACCAGAGUCUGAACAAGUUGGACAGCACCAUCGCCGCCGUCAGCCAGGUGCUGGACGAGGGACGCCACAUCGACGUGCUGCUGGCGCGGGAGAGAAUGAUGACUCAGAUGCAUGAGCUGAAGGCACUGAGGACCCUGAUGCAGCCGCAGGAGGACGACCGCUUCAUGUUCACGCCUCCAGACCAGGCGCUCUACAUAGCCAUCCAGUCCAUGGGCCUCAUCAGCAGUGGCGCCUUCGCUCCGGUCACCAAAGCCCACGGCGACGGUCUCAAAAGUGCGCUUCAGGGCAAGCACGCCUCCUUUACUGUGAUGGGAUACGACCACGACGGCGAACCGCGUCUGUCCGGCGGCGACGUCGUGUCCGCCGUCGUCAUGUCCGUCUCCGACAGCACCGUGUCGCCCACCGACAUCAGCGACCACCACAACGGCUCGUACACCGUCAGCUACGUGGCCCAAUGUGAGGGCGAGCACCUGGUGUCCGUGCUGGUGUGCAACCAGCACAUCCAGGGCAGCCCCUUCAAGGUGUUUGUCAAGUCAGGACGCAGCUACGGAUCCCUUGGCGCACAGGUGUCCUCCUUUGGCGCCGAGGGCGAAGGCGACGGUCAGCUGUGUCGUCCCUGGGGAAUCAGCGUGGACAAGGAGGGUUAUGUGGUGGUGGCGGACCGCAGCAACAACCGCAUACAGAUAUUCAAGCCCUGUGGCGCAUUCCACUACAAGUUUGGCUCUCUGGGGUCCCGGCCGGGUCAGUUUGACCGCCCGGCCGGGGUGGCAUGUGACAGCCAGAGACGAGUCAUUGUGGCCGACAAGGACAAUCACCGUGUGCAGGUGUUUACGUUUGAGGGCCAGUUCCUUCUAAAGUUUGGGGAGAAGGGGACCAAGAACGGGCAGUUCAACUACCCUUGGGACGUAGCUGUCAACUCUGAGGGUAAGAUCUUGGUCUCAGACACCAGGAACCAUCGCGUGCAGCUCUUUUCCCCCGAUGGCGCUUUCCUCAACAAGUACGGCUUUGAGGGGGCUCUGUGGAAACACUUUGACUCUCCGAGAGGUGUGGCCUUCAACCACGAGGACCACCUGGUGGUGACUGACUUCAACAACCACCGGCUCCUGGUCAUCCGGCCGGACUGCCAAUCGGCUCGCUUUCUGGGCUCCGAGGGCAUCGGUAACGGUCAGUUCUUGAGGCCUCAGGGCGUGGCCGUGGACCAGGAGAACCGCAUCAUUGUGGCAGACUCGCGCAAUCACCGCGUGCAAGUCUUUGAGCCCAACGGCAACUUUUUAUGCAAAUUUGGAACGCAGGGGAGUGGCUUCGGACAGAUGGACCGCCCUUCUGGCGUGGCCGUGACGCCGGACGGAGUCAUCGUGGUUGUUGACUUUGGUAACAAUCGGAUCCUCAAGUUCUAGGGGGAACAAACCCAAGGUUCUCUCCCUCUGUUUCACCGUUUUCUGAAGGAAACGGAGGCCAGAGAAUGAAUCACAAAAUUGGAGGAGAGCUGAAAGCGCCUUGAGAGCAGAUUGAUGAGAAGGAAACGAGCCGCUCACGUUCUGAUGGAUUGAUCAAAGGGAAACUUCCAUAAAAUGUUCCUUUCCUCUUUCUCAGCUGCUCUCAAUUCUCCGGAAUCUCUCCUCAAGAAUCCUUCUCAGGGAAUUUCUCACUUUUCUUGAACGCUGGUAAGCUCUCUGCUCCACACCUACCUCAUGUAGCUCUUUAUGAAUGUCACUGAGCAGAGGUUUAUAAGUCAAGAAGUCUACCUCUAUACUUUAUUUAAGAGAGACACAAAAAGAUUCUUUGUUUUUUCUUCUUGCACAGGAUUAAUGGAAUUCUUGCUGUGCUAUUGUUGGACUAUGAGUUAAGUGAACCUCCUGAAUGUUGUUGCUGAGACCGCUGCAUUUUUCAUUCUCAGUAGAAGGCUUUGCUCGGACACGUACGCUCGUCCUUUUCUUGUUGUUGCAUAGCCGUGACGGCCCAGCCAGAAAAAUCCAUAGCUCAGGUUAUAGUUGGGCUGCUGAGAACCGAGGAAGGCUCUUCAGUCCCUCCUAUUUAGCUUUACCGCCUCGCUGAUUAAAUGCGUUCUUGGAGGACCAAUCACUUUUAUUGUCCUCACCACCCCGUUGCGUCUGGUCAGACUGGACCCAUGAGGCCCAAAGAUCCAGUUCUGAACCACAAGGAUGCAAAGCUUAGUAUGCAAGGGUCUCCUCGGAAAAGUGAGGAGCCAUGUGAUGCAUUUGUCGAGAUCUAUUAGUGAUCUUAACGUAGAGAUUUAAUCAUAGUCCAUGUCCCCCCUGAGGCAUGCUGUGUGACAAAAGCCUCUCGAGUCCACCGUCCGGAGGACAAAAAGAACACCACCACUUUGCAAUCCUUUGGAUGCCGUGGUGGAAUAGCCAACCCUAUAGGGCGCUUGGACCUGACCGAAAAAGCCACCCCAAUUUAGUACCAACGCUCAGGUCAACGCACCCGGCGCUAGUAGACCGAUCCUCUAAAGAUGGAGGUCUAAAGACCAACUACUAGAGUCAACCAAAGUUAGAGUAUCUGCACAGGCCAACUAUAUAUAUGAAUAUAUAUAUCUAAAGAGAAAAGUCAGGUCGUUAAAUAAUCAUUGCUGGCAUAACUCAUGGAGUUGAUCGUGCUGUUGGAGAAAAUAACAUCCUUUCUUCUCUCCACCUAGAGAACCAAAGACAAGCCCAUUGUAGAAUCCCCCCCACCCCCCGAGCUCACUGCCCCGUCUUUUGUACAACAAUCCAGAACUGUAACCCAGAACGGCAGAAGCAACCCAUAACUGUAGUAACCCCAAACUGUAGUAACCCCUUAACAGCACUAAUCCAAAACUGUAGUAACCCAUAAUUGUAGUAGCCCUUAAUUGGAGUAGCCCAUAGGUGUAGUAGUCUAUAAUUGUAGUAACCCGUAGUUGUAGUAGCCUAUAAUUGUAGUAACCCAUAGUUUUAGUAGCCUAUAAUUGUAGUAACCCAUAGUUGUAGUAGCCCAUAGUUGUAGUAGCCCCUUGACAGCAGUAGCCCAUAAAUGUGGGCUUCAAUCUGCAGCCCACUUGAAGGCACAGGACAAGUGAAGUUCCAGAAAAAGAAAAGGUGGAAAGAUUCCUCUCCUCUGACCAGGAACCUGCCUACAGGUCAUCUGGACCUACAUGUGACCUACAAGUCACAUUUCAUCAGCUAGGAAUGAAGUAGCAGUGUUAUCUAGUACUGCCUUCAGUGUCUCUGCAGUUACCUAGCACUGCCUUCAGUGUCUUUUUACCUCAAAUUACCUCAGCAUUUACCUCAACCCCCUUUGGAAUACCUCAUUUUACUUACCUCAUCACAUGUUGACGCAUCGCAGAUAUACCUCAUUCCAUCAUACAUCACACGUUGAUAUACCUCAUUACAUCAUACGUUGAUAUACCUCAUUACAUCAUACAUCACAUGUUGAUAUACCUCAUUACAUCAUAUAUCACAAGUUGAUAUACCUCACACUUUUCACAACAGUGAAAAGAGUGAGGUAUAUCAUCACAAGUUGAUACACCUCAUUCUUUUCACCAUUCAUCAGAAGUUGAUAUACCUCAUUCUUUUCAACGUUGAUCAGAAGUUGAUACACCUCAUUACAUCAUACAUCAGAAGUUGAUAGACCUCAUUCUUUUCACCGUUCAUCAGAAGUUGAUAUACCUCAUUACAUCAUACAUCACAAGUUUAUAUACCUCAUUAAAUCAUACAUCAGGCAUUGAUACACCUCAUUACAUCAUACAUCACAUGUUGAUAUACAUCAUUACAUCAUACAACACAAGUUGAUAUACCUCAUUACAUCAUACAUCCCAAGUUGAUAUACCGCAUUACAUCAUACACCACAAUUUGAUAUACCUCAUUCUUUUCACAACAGUGAAAAAAAUGAGGUAUAUCAUCAGUUGAUAUACCUCAUUACAUCAUACAUCAGAAGUUGAUAGACCUCAUUCUUUUCACCGUUCAUCAGAAGUUGAUAUACCUCAUUACAUCAGAAGUUGAUAUACCUCAUUACAUCAUACAUCACAAGUUUAUAUACCUCAUUAAAUCAUACAUCAGACGUUAAUAUACCUCAUUACAUCAUACAUCACAUGUUGAUAUACCUCAUUACAUCAUACAUCCCAAGUUGAUAUACCGCAUUACAUCAUACACCACAAUUUGAUAUACCUCAUUCUUUUCACAACAGUGAAAAAAAUGAGGUAUAUCAUCAGUUGAUAUACCUCAUUACAUCAUACAUCAGAAGUUGAUAGACCUCAUUCUUUUCACCGUUCAUCAGAAGUUGAUAUACCUCAUUACAUCAGAAGUUGAUAUACCUCAUUACAUCAUACAUCACAAGUUUAUAUACCUCAUUAAAUCAUACAUCAGACGUUAAUAUACCUCAUUACAUCAUACAUCACAUGUUGAUAUACCUCAUUACAUCAUACAACACAAGUUGAUAUACCUCAUUACAUCAUACAUCCCAAGUUGAUAUACCGCAUUACAUCAUACAACACAAUUUGAUAUACCUCAUUCUUUUCACAACGGUGAAAAGAAUGAGGUAUAUCAUCACAAGUUGAUAUACUUCAUUACAUCAUACAUCAGAAGUUGAUAUACCUCAUUCUUUACACUGUAUAUCAGAAGUUGAUAUACCUCAUUACAUCAUACAUCACAUGUUGAUAUACAUCAUUACAUCACAAGUUGAUAUACCUCAUUAAAUCAUACAUCAGAAGUUGAUAUACCUCAUUACAUCAUACAUCACAUGUUGAUAUACAUCAUUACAUCACAAGUUGAUAUACCUCAUUAAAUCAUACAUCAGAAGUUGAUAUACCUCAUUACAUCAUACAUCCCAAGUUGAUAUACCUCAUUACAUCAUACAUCCCAAGUUGAUAUACCUCAUUACAUCAUACAUCCCAAGUUGAUAUACCUCCUUCUUUUCACCGUACUCGUGCAGGACCAAAGAUGGCGGCAUCGUUUUAAAAAAGCGAUGUUGUGGUCCAUCAGCAGUUUGUGUCCUCCCGCCAUUAAUUGCCUUUUUUGUCUUUUCUUUUGUAGAAUGGUGAAAUAUUAGCGAGUGCCAAAUGCUGCCAGGGGACGCACUUAUUGAGGUCAGCAGGGUGGGGCCAACAUGGCGCUCGCACAUCUAGGACCUCAACUUAGCAGCAGCAGUGUUGUUGUUGUCAGUAUUCACUCCUUCAUCCUUCAUUAUGGAGGCCAGCAGCAGCAGCAGCAGUGUUGUUGUCAGUAUUCACUCCUUCACCCUUCAUGAUGGAGGCCAGCAGCAGCUGCAGUCUUGUUGUUGUCAGUAUUCACUCAUUCAUCCUUCAUGAUGGAGGCCAGCAGCAGUGUUGUUGUUGUCAGUAUUCACUCCUUCAUCCUUCAUGAUGGAGGCCAGCAGCAGCAGUGUUGUUGUUGUCAGGAUUCACUCAUUCAUCCAUCAUGAUGGAGGCCAGCAGCAGCAGUGUUGUUGUUGUCAGUAUUCACUCAUUCAUCCUUCAUGAUGGAGGCCAGCAGCAGUGUUGUUGUCAGUAUUCACUCAUUCAUCCUUCAUGAUGGAGGCCAGCAGCAGCAGUGUUGUUGUCAGUAUUCACUCAUUCAUCCUUCAUGAUGGAGGCCAGCAGCAGCAGUGUUGUUGUUGUCAGUAUUCACUCCUUCAUCCUUCAUGAUGGAGGCCAGCAGCAGCAGUUGUUGUUGUCAGUAUUCACUCCUUCAUCCUUCAUGAUGGAGGCUAGCAGCAGCAGCAGUUGUUGUUGUCAGUAUUCACUCAUUCAUCCUUCAUGAUGGAGGCCAGCAGCAGCAGUGUUGUUGUUGUCAGUAUUCACUCCUUCAUCCUUCAUGAUGGAGGCCAGCAGCAGCAGUUGUUGUUGUCAGUAUUCACUCCUUCAUCCUUCAUGAUGGAGGCUAGCAGCAGCAGCAGUUGUUGUUGUCAGUAUUCACUCCUUUAUCCUUCAUGAUGGAGGUCAGCAGCAGUUGUUGUUGUUGUCAGUAUUCACUCCUUCAUCCUUCAUGAUGGAGGCCAGCAGCAGCAGUGUUGUUGUUGUCAGUAUUCACUCCUUCAUCCUUCAUGAUGGAGGUCAGCAGCAGCAGUGUUGUUGUUGUCAGUAUUCACUCCUUCAUCCUUCAUGAUGGAGGUCAGCAGCAGCAGUUGUUGUUGUUGUCAUCAGUAUUCACUCCUUCAUCCUUCAGGAUGGAGGCCAACAGCAGCAGUGUUGUUGUUGUCAGUAUUCACUCCUUCAUCCUUCAUGAUGGAGGCUAGCAGCAGCAGCAGUUGUUGUUGUCAGUAUUCACUCAUUCAUCCUUCAUGAUGGAGGCCAGCAGCAGCAGUGUUGUUGUUGUCAGUAUUCACUCCUUCAUCCUUCAUGAUGGAGGCCAGCAGCAGCAGUGUUGUUGUCAGUAUUCACUCAUUCAUCCUUCAUGAUGGUCAGCAGCAGCAGUUGUUGUUGUCGUCAGUAUUCACUCCUUCAUCCUUCAGGAUGGAGGCCAACAGCAGCAGCAGUGUUGUUGUUGUCAGUAUUCACUCAUUCAUCCUUCAUGAUGGAGGCUAGCAGCAGCAGUGUUGUUGUUGUCAGUAUUCACUCCUUCAUCCUUCAUGAUGGAGGCCAGCAGCAGCAGUGUUGUUGUUGUCAGUAUUCACUCAUUCAUCCUUCAUGAUGGAGGCCAGCAGCAGCAGUGUUGUUGUUGUCAGUAUUCACUCCUUCAUCCUUCAUGAUGGAGGCCAGCAAUAGCAGCAGUGUUGUUGUUGUCAGUAUUCACUCAUUCAUCCUUCAUGAUGGAGGCCAGCAAUAGCUGCAGUGUUGUUGUUGUCAGUAUUCACUCCUUCAUCCUUCAUGAUGGAGGCCAGCAGCAGCACUGUUGUUGUUGUCAGGAUUCACUCUUUCAUCCUUGAUAAGUCAUCACUCUUUAAGAGGAACUUUGCUUUUCUUGCAUGCUUUAAAAAGUCUGCCCUCUUUUCUUUGAAAGAAAGAAAGAAGACACGAGCGGGCAGCUUGACUUUUUCCCCCCGCUUUGGAUAUUAACCCGAAGGCAACUGAUCUUUGACCUUGUCGGCCACGCCUCUCAAUUGUGGCAAAACUAAAGCAGUUGGGUCCAAAGUGUGGACAACAUGGCUGCCAAUCAUAGAGAGGAGGAAAUGUCCUGUAAAUCUUUCACCGGAGUACAAUUGUACCCUGAAGCACAGGUGUCACAUACCCUGAAGCGCAGGUGUCACGUGCCCUGAAGCGCAGGCGUCACGUGCCCUGAAGCGCAGGCGUCACGUGCCCUGAAGCACAGGUGUCACGUACCCUGAAGCACAGGUGUCACAUACCCUGAAGCGCAGGCGUCACGUGCCCUGAAGCGCAGGCGUCACGUGCCCUGAAGCGCAGGCGUCACGUGCCCUGAAGCGCAGGCGUCACGUGCCCUGAAGCGCAGGCGUCACGUGCCCUGAAGCGCAGGCGUCACGUGCCCUGAAGCGCAGGCGUCACGUGCCCUGAAGCGCAGGCGUCACGUGCCCUGAAGCGCAGGCGUCACGUGCCCUGAAGCGCAGGCGUCACGUGCCCUGAAGCGCAGGCGUCACGUGCCCUGAAGCACAGGCGUCACGUGCCCUGAAGCACAGGUGUCACGUGCCCUGAAGCACUGGUGUCUUGUCACGUACCCUGAAGCACAGGUGUCAUGUCAGGUGUCUUGUCACAUACCCUGAAGCACAGGUGUCUUGUCACAUACCCUGAAGCACAUGUGUCUUGUCACAUACCCUGAAGCACAGGUGUCACGUGCCCUGAAGCACAGGUGUCACGUACCCUGAAGCACUGGUGUCUUGUCACGUACCCUGAAGCACAGGUGUCUUGUCAGGUGUCUUGUCACAUACCCUGAAGCACAGGUGUCACGUACCCUGAAGCACUGGUGUCUUGUCACAUACCCUGAAGCACAGGUGUCACGUACCCUGAAGCACUGGUGUCUUGUCACGUACCCUGAAGCACAGGUGUCUUGCCAGGUGUCUUGUCACAUACCCUGAAGCACUGGUGUCUUGUCACGUACCCUGAAGCACAGGUGUCUUGUCAGGUGUCUUGUCACAUACCCUGAAGCACAGGUGUCACGUACCCUGAAGCACUGGUGUCUUGUCACAUACCCUGAAGCACAGGUGUCACGUACCCUGAAGCACUGGUGUCUUGUCACGUACCCUGAAGCACAGGUGUCUUGUCAGGUGUCUUGUCACGUACCCUGAAGCACAGGUGUCUUGCCAGGUGUCUUGUCACAUACCCUGAAGCACUGGUGUCUUGUCACGUACCCUGAAGCACAGGUGUCUUGUCAGGUGUCUUGUCACAUACCCUGAAGCACAGGUGUCACGUACCCUGAAGCACUGGUGUCUUGUCACAUACCCUGAAGCACUGGUGUCUUGUCACGUACCCUGAAGCACUGGUGUCUUGUCACAUACCCUGAAGCACAGGUGUCACGUACCCUGAAGCACUGGUGUCUUGUCACAUACCCUGAAGCACUGGUGUCUUGUCACGUACCCUGAAGCACAGGUGUCUUGUCAGGUGUCUUGUCACGUACCCUGAAGCACAGGUGUCACAUACCCUGAAGCACAGGUGUCUUGUCAGGUGUCUUGUCACGUACCCUGAAGCACAGGUGUCACGUACCCUGAAGCACAGGUGUCUUGUCAGGUGUCUUGUCACGUACCCUGAAGCACAGGUGUCACAUACCCUGAAGCACAGGUAUCACGUAUCCUGAAGCACAUUCCAUUCCAAACAUUUUGGGGCGAAACUUAAAUAUCAGAGUGACUCUUGAUUUUAAAGCCAAUGAUCUAUUAAAAUGAGCUCUUUAAAAAUUAUUUUUCCAGUAAAAAAAAACCUGGCGGCUCAUGUUGCUCUACAUUAACACGCCACAGAUUUUACAGUAAAAUGAUGGUGCUGCUCUCCCAUUUGUCUUUGAUAUACUCUAUAAACAUGAAUAUAAGAUUUUGGCAACUGAGCUGUCAGUUUUUUUAACUGUAAAAGCUACAGAUUUUUUUAGAUCAUUUUUACAGUUUAGGUAAAAAAAAGAAUGCGUUUUUAAUAAUGGUGUAGUAGUUCAUGUAGUAUUUCAAUGGAAGGCAGUUCCAUGACAUGAAUCCUGUUAUAUUUGUCAUUGAAAAACAUCUUUCACAUGACACAAUGAUUUAUUGAAACCAAAAGUGCUCCCAGGAUGCCUUGCGGCACUUUCUUUUUCGCCAUCUUCACUUGACCCGAUGACCUAUAUUGUUCAAUUUUACCCUUAAAGCACGCUUUUUGUCCUUUAUGACAGGAUGGUACUGGUGUCAAAGAUGUAGGUGACAUUCAAAAAUGGAAGAUCGAGUCCCUUCACCCACAAAUUGUGUUUAAAUGUACUUGGUGUGUCGUGCCAAUCACUCCUGUUUGGGGAUGCAGAAGUGCAAAAAUAGUCUUCAAAAUAAAAGCAUAACACUCAUUUUGUUAAAAGCAACGCACGUUUUAUUGUCAUUGUAGGCAAGAAUAACAGCAUCCAAAAGGGGUUUGGGGAAAAAUCGAUUCGAAUUUGAAUUGCGAUUCAGAACCGGUUCUCAUUUUUUAAAAUCGAUUCUUUUUUUUAAUUAAAUCAAUCCAACAAAUCAAUACACAGCAAUACCAUAACAAUGCAAUCCAAUUCCAAAACCAAACCUCACUCAGAAGUAGUGAAACAAAAAUGAAUAUUAUCAACAACAGUAUCAAUAUUAGUUAUAAUUUCAGCAUAACAGUGAUUAAAAAUCCCUCAUCGACAUUAUUAUUAGAUAUUUAUGAAAAAUAAAAAUAAAAAACAAUAGUGGUUUACACAGGGUUAGGGUUAGGGGUUAGCCCUAACCCCAAUAUUUUGACAAAGAUAAAAAUAAUUCAUAUUUUUGGUUCGUUUAAUAGUUAAAACAAAUUUACAUUAUUGCAAUCAGUUGAUCAAACAUUGUCCUUUACAAUAAUAAAAGCUUUUUACAAAAACAUACUACUCUGCUCGCAUGUCAGCAGACUGUGUUGAAUGAAUACAGAAUCCUUUUAAAUCAGGAAAAAAAAAAUCGUGUUGAAUUGGAAAAAAAAAAAUCGAUUUUAAAUCGAAUCGUGACCCCGAGAAUCGAUGAAUCGAAAAGAUUCGCAGCCCUAGCAUCCACCUUGUUACGCAAAAAUAUCAAAUCUUGAUACAUGACCACUUUUCUAACUCCCUGAAACAUGCACAAUGUACUGGAGAAUCUUCAUUCAAGAAACAUGCACAAGUGGAAGGAAAACCCUGCGAAAAAAAUAAUAAAUAGUUUGAAAUGUGGCCGUGUUAGCAAGUGGAGAUCAAAUUGUUAGCUUUGCAUAUUCGGAACUGGACAUUGUUUGAUUUGUGCACACCGCCCUUAGUUUGGACAUCCUGGCUUAAAAGUGGCCGCGCCUCGGGUCAUGUGACAAGCAGAAGCACUUCCUGUCACGUGACUCAUCCUCUCAUUUAAGCGGGAAAGCAAAAAAAAGUCAAGCGCGCAAGCUGGUGGACUUCCUUCCGAAUGAUGGCGUACUCUAAGUGGAUGCUGGGUGAAAAGGUAGAUAUCUCAGGUAGUAGUCUCAUCCAAAUGUGUCCCCCUAGAGAAGUAGUUCAUUGUGUGUGAAAUAUUUAGCUUUUGAUGAUUUCCCCCCUCGACAAGUAGAACACGUGGCUGGAGGCGCCGUUUGCCCUUUUAGAAUGUAUUUUGUGAAGAGAAGGGCACGCUGCCGUCAUGUCCACGGCCUGCUGCCGGACGCAACGCCGAGUGUCGUCACGCCAGCAAUAUUUAGCGUCCAUGUUGGUCCGGCAAGCAGAAUCCACUGAAUGUAAACAAAAAUCAACAACAACAAAACCUCACCAACAGUCCAGGAGGCGGCGCGGUGGGCGUGGCCUGCUGAGUUUAGACGGCCUGCGCGUGAAAGUGUGUGUACGUGUGUGUGUGUGUGUGUGUGUGUGUGUGAAGUGCAGAUGUCAGGUGUUCAGUCGAAACGAGGCAAAGGAGACAAAAAAUAUUGUUGGCCACUUCCUUGCUCGCGCCGCGCUCUUUUUGACUUUAAACAUUUCCUAUGCAGUUUUUUUUGUUUACACUUCAAUAAAGUUGUACUUGUUUGACUUCAA